GGAAGAUUAGCUCAUUCGGAUAGAGCGUUGGCCUCCGGAGCCAAAGGCGGUGGGUUCAAAUCCCGCAUCUUCCAUCC
rnacentral:tRNA from 1 species